rnacentral:rRNA from 1 species
UACAGAGGUCCCAAGCGUUGUUCGGAUUCACUGGGCGUAAAGGGCGCGUAGGCGGCCCUCUAAGUCAGACGUGAAAUCCCUCGGCUCAACCGGGGAACUGCGUCUGAGACUGGAAGGCUUGAAUUCGGGAGAGGGAUGUGGAAUUCCAGGUGUAGCGGUGAAAUGCGUAGAUAUCUGGAGGAACACCGGUGGCGAAGGCGGCAUCCUGGACCGAUAUUGACGCUGAUGCGCGAAAGCCAGGGGAGCAAACGGG